CUNGCCUCAUAGUCUGGGACAACAUUUGGAAACGGAUGCUAAUACCGGAUAUUAUGCUUUCUUCGCAUGGAGGAAGUAUGAAAGCUAUAUGCGCUAUGAGAGAGCUUUGCGUCCCAUUAGCUAGUUGGUGAGGUAACGGCCCACCAAGGCGAUGAUGGGUAGCCGGCCUGAGAGGGUGAACGGCCACAAGGGGACUGAGACACGGCCCUUACUCCUACGGGAGGCAGCAGGC
rnacentral:rRNA from 1 species